CAAUAGCGUAUAUUAAAGUUGUUGCAGUUAAAAAGCUCGUAGUUGGAUGUCGGAGAUUUAGAACUAGCCUCUUCAGAGAGUGCCGGUUUCCGGAUCUCUUCCUUCUGAAGGAUGCGGGUGGCAUUGAUUUGCUGUCCGUGGUCGUCAGAUAGUUUACUUUGAGAAAAUUAGAGUGUUCAAAGCAGGCUCACGCCCGAAUACAUUAGCAUGGAAUAAUGGAAUAGGACUUUUGUCUUAUUUUGUUGGUUUCUAGGACAGAAGUAAUGAUUAAUAGGGAUAGUUGGGGGCACUCAUAUUUAGUUGCUAGAGGUGAAAUUCUUGGAUUUACGAAAGAUGAACUUCUGCGAAAGCAUUUGCCAAGGAUGUUUUCAUUAA
rnacentral:rRNA from 1 species